UACCUGCCAUUCUGUGACAGUUGCCU
rnacentral:piRNA from 1 species